rnacentral:rRNA from 1 species
UACGGAGGGUGCAAGCGUUAAUCGGAAUUACUGGGCGUAAAGCGUACGUAGGCGGUUCGUUAAGUCUGUUGUGAAAGCCCCGGGCUCAACCUGGGAAUGGCAAUGGAUACUGGCGAGCUAGAGUGUGUCAGAGGAUGGUGGAAUUCCCGGUGUAGCGGUGAAAUGCGUAGAGAUCGGGAGGAACAUCAGUGGCGAAGGCGGCCAUCUGGGACAACACUGACGCUGAGGCACGAAAGCGUGGGGAGCAAACAGG